rnacentral:rRNA from 1 species
GAUGAACGCUGGCGGCGUGCCUAAUACAUGCAAGUCGAGCGAACAGACGAGGAGCUUGCUCCUUUGACGUUAGCGGCGGACGGGUGAGUAACACGUGGAUAACCUACCUAUAAGACUGGGAUAACUUCGGGAAACCGGAGCUAAUACCGGAUAACAUGUUGAACCGCAUGGUUCAACAGUGAAAGACGGUCUUGCUGUAACUUAUAGCUGGAUCCGCGCCGCAUUAGCUAGUUGGUAAGGUAACGGCUUACCAAGGCAACGAUGCGUAGCCGACCUGAGAGAGUGAUCGGCCACACUGGAACUGAGACACGGUCCAGACUCCUACGGGAGGCAGCAGUAGGGAAUCUUCCGCAAUGGGCGAAAGCCUGACGGAGCAACGCCGCGUGAGUGAAGAAGGUCUUCGGAUCGUAAAACUCUGUUAUUAGGGAAGAACAAAUGUGUAAGUAACUAUGCACGUCUUGACGGUACCUAAUCAGAAAGCCACGGCUAACUACGUG